rnacentral:lncRNA from 1 species
GCAAUAACAUUCGCCACCACAAGAUGGUGCUGGCUUCCACUGUGCCCCACGUGGAAAGCUGGGAUAGCUUUCGCCAUUACAAGAUGGCACUGGCCUCCGCCGCACCAGCCGACUUCCUUUCAGGAAGUUAACUGUGUGCGCAUGUGCAAGAGUGCCUUCGUGCCAGGUCUUUGCCCACUCCGGGGCGUGCCUAAUGAGAUCAUGGGUAAGCAACCAAUCAGGUGUGGACACACCACAUUAGGGUGUAUAUAAGCAGCGCCAUUCUGGGGCUCGGUCUCUCCUCUUCAAGAUGUAAUAAACGCUUUGCUGCAGAAGGAUCCUGGUGUCCGCGCGUCGUUCUUGCUGGCGAGACGUUGGGCGCGCAGCAUUUUUAUAUUUUAUCUUAUAUCAGGUUUGGUGUAUCUGGUUUUAUGUUGAGGUCCUUGAUGCAUUUGAACUUGGUUUUUUUGUGCAGGGUGACAGAUACAAAUCUAUUUGCAUUCUCCUUCAUGCCAAUAUCCAGUUUGACCAGCACCAUUUGUUGAAGAUGCUUUUUUUCCCCAUUGUGUAUUUCUGGCUUCUUUAUAAAACAUCUGGUGCUCAUAGGUGUGUGGACUUCUGUCUGGAUCUCAAUUCAAUUCCACUGAUUAAUGUGUCUGUUUUUAUGUGAAUACCAUCAUGUGGUUGUUAUUACUAUUGAUCUGCUGUAGAGUUUGAAAUGAGGGAUUCUGAAGCCUCGGGAAGUUCCUUUGUUGUUCAUGAUGGUCUCUAACUAUCUUGAGUUUUUUUGUUUUCCCAUAAGAAAGUGAGCAUUGUACUUUCAAAGUCUGUACAUAAUUGUGUUGGCAUUUUGAUGGUGAUUGCUUUGGAUCUAUAGAUUGAUUGCUUUUGAUCUGAUGGCCGUUGUUACUAUGUUAAUUGUGCCAAUUCCUAGGAUCUCUGCAUCUUCUGAUAUAUUCUUCAGUCUCGUUCUUCAAAGACUCGAAGAUUUUAUCAUACAAGUGAGUCUUUCACUUGGUUGAUUACGGUACUCCAAUUUAUUUUAUAUUGCUUCUGGCUAUUGAAAGGGGUGUUGUCUCCCUGAUUUUCUUCUCAGUCCACGUGUCAUUUGUCUUUAGGAAGGCUACCAUAUUAAAUUAAUCUUGUAUCCAGACACUUUGCUGAAGGUGUUUAUAAACUAUAGGAGUUCACUGGUAGAAAUUUUGGAGUUGCUUAUGCAUACUACAUAUGCAUUAUACAAAAUGAGAUACAGUAAAGCAGUAAAAUUUAAUUGCUGUGCUAAUAAUGAAUGUUCAUAUGGUUUAUAUUACCCUA